GAGAAGAGCCAGAUAAACCCAAAUAACAGAUGGCGCUAAUCACUAGAAUGCUACACUCAAAACAAACGGGAGUAACAAGAGCAGAGACUCAGAACCACUCAGGAUAAAAGGUGCUGCAGACAGAACAGGCAGGACACGCAUCCACCCGCCCCUGUCAGCUCAGGAUGAUGGAGAAGUUGACAGCUGGAGUCCUGGAGCCAGACUAGCUCUGUGCACAUUUGCUGCAGGACAUCAGAUGCUAAAACCUCACCCAGUGGAAGAAGUUAACUACUUGACCACGAGCACGUAGCCCCCAGACUUACUGGAGCCUGAUGUUAACCCCUGUGACAUCACCCUGUUACCUCACCAUCAACCAGUCAGAAAACUGUGC